GCUAGCCACAAGCUAGCAGCCUUGAGUGAACAACCAAAGCGAAAAAACAAACGGGUCAAAAAAUGGAAUUGGGGCUGUUGCAGCUUCAGUGAAUAGGGACGUGACUCAUAAUUCAUCUCUGCUUCAAUUAUCCAAUCCAAUAAAUACCAUCAAACAAGAGUCAAUAGAAGAAAAAGCUAUUUGGCAUAAGCAGCGAAGAUUUGGCAGCAGGUUUCUGAUGGACACAACCAACAUACUCAACUCUGCUGCUCAACCCACAAAUUCAUUUUACUUACAAAUUUGCCCCCAUUUAAGGGGAAAUAAUGAGGCUUUCCAAAGAUAUAAGAUUUAUUGCCAAGAACCAUAUUUGCAAAGAGAUUUUCUUGCUUGCUGUGCUAAGGUUAUGUGAUGUUAUGUGUGACAGCAUGAGGAAAUGUUUGUGUUAUUUUUAGCAUAUUUCUUAUGUGUUUCUUAUAAUGCAUCAACAUCUUCCUCGUUUCUUUUGUUUUAUUCUCUGUUCAGCCUGCUUGCAUGGUUUCUGCAGCAUGCCUUCCUGUAAGUGUGAAGUAAGUAUGUGUACAAAGCUGUUUGUUUGUUUUCUUGUUUUUCUUGUGUUACAUCUUCCUGCCUGUAAUCAUGUAAUAAUGUUCCCUAAAGGAAAAAAGUUAUGAGGCAGCGAAGCCAGUUUUAUGUCACAGAGGGCUGACUGACUAACACUUCAUGUUACCACAUCAGGAAACACACACAAAAAAGCAAAUGGAAUUAACAGGACCAUACUAAUCACAUAUUCAUUUUAUAUUAGUUUGUUUUCACCCAGAAGUGAAAGAUUAAUUUUUAUACAGUGUAAAUGUUGAAAAAAGCAAAAAC